UACGGAGGGUGCAAGCGUUAUCCGGAUUCACUGGGUUUAAAGGGUGCGUAGGUGGAUUGGUAAGUCAGUGGUGAAAUCCCCGAGCUUAACUUGGGAACUGCCAUUGAUACUAUUAAUCUUGAAUACCGUGGAGGUCAGCGGAAUAUGUCAUGUAGCGGUGAAAUGCUUAGAUAUGACAUAGAACACCAAUUGCGAAGGCAGCUGGCUACACGAAUAUUGACACUGAGGCACGGAAGCCAGGGGAGCAAACGGG
rnacentral:rRNA from 1 species